rnacentral:rRNA from 1 species
UCACCUCCCAUCCGUGUCUAUCUGUACCCUGUUGCUUCGGCGUGGCCACGGCCCGCCGGAGACUAACAUUUGAACGCUGUCUGAAGUUUGCAGUCUGAGUUUUUAGUUAAACAAUCGUUAAAACUUUCAACAACGGAUCUCUUGGUUCCGGCAUCGAUGAAGAACGCAGCGAAAUGCGAUAAUUAAUGUGAAUUGCAGAAUUCAGUGAAUCAUCGAGUCUUUGAACGCACAUUGCGCCCCCUGGUAUUCCGGGGGGCAUGCCUGUCCGAGCGUCAUUGCUGCCCUCAAGCACGGCUUGUGUGUUGGGCUUCCGUCCCUGGCAACGGGGACGGGCCCAAAAGGCAGUGGCGGCACCAUGUCUGGUCCUCGAGCGUAUGGGGCUUUGUCACCCGCUCCCGUAGGUCCAGCUGGCAGCUAGCCUCGCAACCAAUCUUUUUAACCAGGUUGACCUCGGAUCAGGUAGGGAUACCCGCUGAACUUAAGCAUAUCAAUAA